rnacentral:rRNA from 3 species
GUGACUGCGUACCUUUUGUAUAAUGGGUCAGCGACUUAUAUUCUGUAGCAAGGUUAACCGCAUAGGGGAGCCGGAGGGAAACCGAGUCUUAAUUGGGCGUUAAGUUGCAGGGUAUAGACCCGAAACCCGGUGAUCUAGCCAUGGGCAGGUUGAAGGUUGGGUAACACUAACUGGAGGACCGAACCGACUAAUGUUGAAAAAUUAGCGGAUGACCUGUGGCUGGGGGUGAAAGGCCAAUCAAACCGGGAGAUAGCUGGUUCUCCCCGAAAGCUAUUUAGGUAGCGCCUCGUGAAUUCAUCUCCGGGGGUAGAGCACUGUUUCGGCUAGGGGGCCAUCCCGGCUUACCAACCCGAUGCAAACUGCGAAUACCGGAGAAUGUUAUCACGGGAGACACACGGCGGGUGCUAACGUCCGUCGUGAAGAGGGAAACAACCCAGACCGCCAGCUAAGGUCCCAAAGUCAUGGUUAAGUGGGAAACGAUGUGGGAAGGCCCAGACAGCCAGGAUGUUGGCUUAGAAGCAGCCAUCAUUUAAAGAAAGCGUAAUAGCUCACUGGUCGAGUCGGCCUGCGCGGAAGAUGUAACGGGGCUAAACCAUGCACCGAAGCUGCGGCAGCGA